UACAGAGGGGGCUAGCGUUAUUCGGAAUUAUUGGGCGUAAAGGGCGCGUAGGCGGCUUUGCGUGUCUUCCGUGAAAUCCCUCGGCUCAACUGGGGAGGGUCAUUCGAUACUGAUCGACUCGAAGGCAGGAGAGGGUAGUGGAAUUCCCGGUGUAGUGGUGAAAUGCGUAGAUAUCGGGAGGAACACCAGUGGCGAAGGCGACUACCUGGCCUGUUCUUGACGCUGAGGCGCGAAAGCUAGGGGAGCAAACGGG
rnacentral:rRNA from 1 species